CUAAGAAUAUUCCGCAAUGGACGGAAGUCUGACGGAGCGACGCCGCGUGGAUGACGAAGGCCGAAAGGUUGUAAAGUUCUUUUGCUGGGGAAGAAUAACCGCAGGAGGGAAUGCCUGUGGGAUGACAAGAACCGGCGAAUAAGCCCCGGCCAACUACGUGCCAGCAGCCGCGGUAACACGUAGGGGGCGAGCGUUGUUCGGAAUUACUGGGCGUAAAGGGCAUGUAGGCGGCUUGGAAAGCCUGGCGUGAAAGUCUGCAGCUUAACUGCAGGGGUGCGCUGGGAACUGCUGAGCUUGAGCGACGGAGAGGGAGCUGGAAUUCCUGGUGUAGGGGUGAAAUCUGUAGAUAUCAGGAAGAACACCGAUGGCGAAGGCAAGCUCCUGGCCGAUGACUGACGCUGAGGUGCGAAAGUGUGGGGAUCAAACA
rnacentral:rRNA from 1 species